UAGCCCUGGAAAUGACGCUGGGGGAGGUAAACCCCUGUCCGUUCGUGCGACCCCAGAGGCUAUAGUGUUCGCGGUCUUGUUUUUCUGGAAGUGGGCCUCCGCGAUCUCGGGAACCAACACCCCGAAUCCGGCGCCCAAGCAGGGAGGCCAGCUGCUUUAGGCGGCUCCAGAAAGGCCAGGCUUCGGAGCCUCUAACCUGAUGAAGGUGGGACUUCGGCAAAGUCGAGAAACCUAAGUCUGGGAAGAGUUGGUAUACCCAUGGCCCACGUUCUUGCUCAGAAGAAGCAGACUGCAAAAUUCUGGAGGUGACAAAGGGAAGAUGAAGGCACAUAAACACCUGCUCCUCCCCUCCAGACCCCAAAGCAAUUUCGGCGAGUUUUGGAAGGGAAUGAAGGUGACAACUGUGCUAGGACUCAUCUGGCCUGGGAGCAGAUGGCGCAGGCCUGGAUGUCGCUACCGGAGAAGGUCCAUCGGGAAGCAGCCUGGCCUCGCGGGCGGUGGACAAUGUGGAGGAGAGAGAAUUUCCAGGCAGCAGGAUUAUAAACAAAUUCACGCUGAGAAAUAGCCUGGUGACCUUAGCUAAAGUACAUAGUAAGAGCAGACGAGAUUCCUGGAGGAGCAGCAGCUAUUAUGCAUCAUAAUGAUGAAAGCCACAGAAUAAAGAGCAAGAAGGUAGAAGGAGCCUGAGAACUUCAUGACAUUCUUGGACAGUGGUGCCAACCUUGGAUGAUUUACCUCAGGAUUUUUGGUUAAAUAACAUAUAUUAACUCCUUUCUGUUUAACCCACUGGAGUUGAAUUUUCUGUUGCAAGCCCAGGACCAUGGGUGUGUUUCAUGGCAGAGAAAAGUGAAGAGGAGAAUUGUUUGUGUGUUUGAAGGAGAAACAGAUCAGCAGCCUUUUGUUUUGGCUCCUAAAGUAUGUAGGUGCCUAUUUCCAUUAUCUCUACAAAUAUACCCUUGCUGGUCCUCCUAUUCUGUAGGGGUGUUUCCUUGUCUAUUACAUGCUCCUUCCCUAUCUGUGACAUUUGAGUUUUGAUAAAAAUCCUCUUCUCUCUGGAAGUGUUGUGACUGGUAGUUUUUUCCCACAAUGUCAUUGCAGCAAAUGUUUCUGGUGGGCAUAGUCUCUACGUUUGGUGGAGAGGUCUUCCUCACUCUGGUAUCCGAUCAUCUGAUGUCACCAGAAGACUAACCAUUUGGCCCUACUACAUAUAAAACCAUUGCGGUGAAAAAGGACAGCAUGGGCAUCCUAGAGACGGAAGUUGGACCUCGUGACUGAGGCUUAUGCCCAAGAUUCUAGGGUGAAACAUUGCUUGUUCCAAUGAGACUAUCUAAAGACUAUUUGAUACAAGUGUUGCUGAGAUGAUACAGACUUUUUAGAUAAGUGAGAAAUGAAUGUCUAGAAUAUUUUAAAAGCUACAGAAAGUAGACAGAAACAUUUUCAUUAGGGAUAGUUUAUAAAGGAAGAGAACGGUUUUCUUUAAGGAGCAAGGAAACUGAUAUUUAUUGAGCACUUGCUGUUUACCAGGCACUGUGUAUGUGUGUAUGUGCGUGUAUGUGUAUGUGUCUGCUCACAACGGCUCCGUGGGGUAGUGAUUAUUAGCUCCGUUUUAAUAAUGAAGACAUUGUGGCUCAGAGGGAGUAAGGUGCAAAGCCAGAAUUGCGAGACAAGAUUGUUGGCCUCCCGUGUCCAUGUGUCCACUCACUUUUCCUUUUGAAGGUCUCAGGUAAGGGGUAGCCUCACUGGGAUUUAGGCAGCCUGCCCCAGGGUCCUUGUUCUGAACUACUGUGCUCCACUGCCUUUUAAGAGCAAAUUUAUCUUUUUACCAGGGAGUGAUGACCUUCAGAGGAAUCUUUCUAUCUAGAUAAGCAAAUUCAUAGAAUCCUGAUAGUAAACUGGAAUGUUAAUUGUUCUAAUAUUAUAUUGUUUUGACUUUCUUUAUCAGUAAUACUGAAUAUGGACUGAAGGUCAGAUGACUCCUGUCCCAAGUAAGGGACUCUGAGCACCAGGGAAAAUGAUUCUUUUUAAAGUUUUACUUUAAGUAUUUCAUAAUUUACUUCAUUUUCCCCCAGUUGUACUGGAGGUAUCUUUGGCUUAAAGAUCCCAAGGAUUGAUUGGUUGUUUUUUCACUCUUUAUUUCUGAAUUUACUUUUUUCCCUUUUUAAUUAUAGAAGUAUUUUCAAGGAUUACUGUCAAAACACAUAAAAAUAUAUGGCUAAGAAAAAAAUAUAUGUAUAUUGCCACAUUCCAAAGAUAAACAUACUUUAUGUGUUAGAAGAAACACAAUUUAUGGGCCUGGCCCACUGGCCAGGUGGUUGAGGUGACAUGCUCCACUUCCGCAGCCCAGGGUUUUGCCAGUUUGGAUCCUGGGCGCAGACCUAGCACCACUCAUCAAGCCACGCUGAGGUGGUGUACCACAUGCCACAACUAGAAGGACCCACAACUAAAAUAUACAACUAUGUAGUGGGGGGCUUUGGGGAAAAGAAGGAAAAAUAAAAAUAAAAAAAGAAAAUUUAUGUGUUACAAAACACAUUUUAUGUGUGUUAAGCACAUUUUGUUGUGUGUCUACUUCUGGACAUUUAUAUACAUAUACUGUAUCUGUACAUUUUUAAAAGGGAUUAUCAUCUUUUAAAAACUUUCUUGUAACGUGUUUUUUACUUAAUGCUAUUUCUUAAGCAUCUUUACUGAAAGAUAAUAGAUAGCUAAUUAUUAACUCUGAAGAGCAAGGGUCAAUAAAUAUUUGUUGAAUGAAUGUAUAAUUUCCCUUUAUCACCAGCUGCUUCCAAGCCCCUACUUCAGGUGUCUGGGAAUACCACAUGGCUUUAGGCCAAAAGCGUUUUGUCCCUCAUUAGGGCAAAAAAAAUUAAGGAUGUCUUUUCUCCUCCUCCCUCUAGUUCCAAUAAACCUACACUUUGUUCCCUUUCCCUCCUUUAGAGGUGCGAUGGAAAAGAAGUUUUCAGAUUCAGCUCCUUCCUGGAUGGGUAAACUUGUUUUAAAAUGUCACACUUUUGUGCAGUAAGAAAACUCAUAAGUGCUAUUUGUAAGCUAAGUACUGAUAAAAUAGAAAUCUCCUACAUAUAUUAAGUGAA